rnacentral:misc_RNA from 1 species
UUAUUCUCAAACUUCAGAGUUUUGUGGACUCUGAAGCUUUGGAUAUGGAGGGACUUGCUGGCUUCAUGUUGCUGGCUCCUCUCAAAUGUAUUAGCGGAACUGUCAAUGUCUUGGCUCUGGUUUGAUACAUAUCUAUGCCAUUGCUGAGGAGCUUUCAAUGAUGGUUCAGCUUUCAAACCUUUUUGUCUCUGAAA